rnacentral:rRNA from 1 species
UACGUAGGGUGCGAGCGUUAAUCGGAAUUACUGGGCGUAAAGCGUGCGCAGGCGGUUUUGUAAGCCAGAUGUGAAAUCCCCGGGCUUAACCUGGGAACUGCAUUUGGGACUGCAAGGCUUGAGUACGGCAGAGGGGGGUAGAAUUCCUGGUGUAGCGGUGAAAUGCGCAGAUAUCAGGAGGAACACCGGUGGCGAAGGCGGAUCUCUGGGCCUUACCUGACGCUCAGGCGCGAAAGCUAGGGGAGCGAACAGG